CAUUUCUUCAAAUGGAUGAGCAGAAAGUAAACUAACUUUGCUCUGGUACAAAAUUUUCCUAGAGUCAACUUUUGACCUCAAUAAUGGAGUGGAUUACUCCAUAUGCAUAGGACAUAAGUCCUCCAGCAAAAAUUCCAGAUAAAAGCAGAAUCCUGAAAAAGGAAGAAAAAAAGAUGUUCACCUCAGAACACACAGGAGAACUUUGUUGUCCCAGGGAUUGCCACCAGAUCUUAUACAUCCAAAUGACAGAAUAAUUUCUGCCACCUAAAAAUUAGUUUUCUACAUUAAUGUGUCCUGAGUUGAAUUAUCUAUCUCAUCAUUGAUGCUGAGACAGUAAGAAUAUCAUGUAAUGAUGGGGGCAGAGAUUGGAGUGAUGUCUACAAGCCAAGAACACCAAGAUUUCCAACAAUAUCAGAAGCUGACUGAAAGACAUGCAACCUGUUUCCUCUAGAGCCUUCAGAGACAGGAUCUGGCCCUGCAGACACAUUGGCAUUGGACUUUUACCCUCAGAAUUAAGAGAAUAAAUAUGUAUGUAUAUGUGAUGUCACCAUGUUUGUGAUAAUUGGUUUUGGAAGCCCCCGGGGCAAUACAGUACAAUUUCCUUUAUUCUACUUUACGAAUGUGAAAUAUGAGAUUAGCUAAUUUAAACAAGGCUGUUUGGUCUGUAGGACCUAUGCUCUUUUACAACAGCACCCCUAUAUUUAACUAAUUUCUCUGAGAUGAUGAAGGCUAUGUUUUUCUGCUACACAUACUGUUUCCAGAAGAAUAAACUAUUUGAUUUCAAA